UACGGUGCUGAAGCAACAAAUGCCCUGCUUCCAGGAAAAGCCUCUAAGCAUCAGGUAACAUCAAAUCGUACCCCAAACCGACACAGGUGGUCAGGUAGAGAAUACCAAGGCGCUUGAGAGAACUCGGGUGAAGGAACUAGGCAAAAUGGUGCCGUAACUUCGGGAGAAGGCACGCUGACACGUAGGUGAAGUGAUUUACUCAUGGAGCUGAAGUCAGUCGAAGAUACCAGCUGGCUGCAACUGUUUAUUAAAAACACAGCACUGUGCAAACACGAAAGUGGACGUAUACGGUGUGACGCCUGCCCGGUGCCGGAAGGUUAAUUGAUGGGGUCAGCGCAAGCGAAGCUCCUGAUCGAAGCCCCGGUAAACGGCGGCCGUAACUAUAACGGUCCUAAGGUAGCGAAAUUCCUUGUCGGGUAAGUUCCGACCUGCACGAAUGGCGUAAUGAUGGCCAGGCUGUCUCCACCCGAGACUCAGUGAAAUUGAACUCGCUGUGAAGAUGCAGUGUACCCGCGGCAAGACGGAAAGACCCCGUGAACCUUUACUAUAGCUUGACACUGAACAUUGAGCCUUGAUGUGUAGGAUAGGUGGGAGGCUUUGAAGUGUGGACGCCAGUCUGCAUGGAGCCGACCUUGAAAUACCACCCUUUAAUGUUUGAUGUUCUAACGUGGACCCGUUACCCGGGUUGCGGACAGUGUCUGGUGGGUAGUUUGACUGGGGCGGUCUCCUCCUAAAGAGUAACGGAGGAGCACGAAGGUUGGCUAAUCCUGGUCGGACAUCAGGAGGUUAGUGCAAUGGCAUAAGCCAGCUUGACUGCGAGCGUGACGGCGCGAGCAGGUGCGAAAGCAGGUCAUAGUGAUCCGGUGGUUCUGAAUGGAAGGGCCAUCGCUCAACGGAUAAAAGGUACUCCGGGGAUAACAGGCUGAUACCGCCCAAGAGUUCAUAUCGACGGCGGUGUUUGGCACCUCGAUGUCGGCUCAUCACAUCCUGGGGCUGAAGUAGGUCCCAAGGGUAUGGCUGUUCGCCAUUUAAAGUGGUACGCGAGCUGGGUUUAGAACGUCGUGAGACAGUUCGGUCCCUAUCUGCCGUGGGCGCUGGAGAACUGAGGGGGGCUGCUCCUAGUACGAGAGGACCGGAGUGGACGCAUCACUGGUGUUCGGGUUGUCAUGCCAAUGGCACUGCCCGGUAGCUAAAUGCGGAAGAGAUAAGUGCUGAAAGCAUCUAAGCACGAAACUUGCCCCGAGAUGAGUUCUCCCUGAGACUUUAGGUCUCCUGAAGGAACGUUGAAGACGACGACGUUGAUAGGCCGGGUGUGUAAGCGCAGCGAUGCGUUGAGCUAACCGGUACUAAUGAACCGUGAGGCUUAACCUUACAACGCCGAAG
rnacentral:rRNA from 1 species